CGCGGCCUAUCAGCUUGUUGGUGAGGUAGCGGCUCACCAAGGCGACGACGGGUAGCCGGCCUGAGAGGGCGACCGGCCACACUGGGACUGAGACACGGCCCAGACUCCUACGGGAGGCAGCAGUGGGGAAUAUUGCACAAUGGGCGGAAGCCUGAUGCAGCGACGCUGCGUGAGGGAUGACGGCCUUCGGGUUGUAAACCUCUUUCAGCAGGGAAGAAGCGCAAGUGACGGUACCUGCAGAAGAAGCGCCGGCUAACUACGUGCCAGCAGCCGCGGUAAUACGUAGGGCGCAAGCGUUGUCCGGAAUUAUUGGGCGUAAAGAGCUCGUAGGCGGCUUGUCGCGUCGGAUGUGAAAGCCCGGGGCUUAACCCCGGGUCUGCAUUCGAUACGGGCAGGCUAGAGUUCGGUAGGGGAGAUCGGAAUUCCUGGUGUAGCGGUGAAAUGCGCAGAUAUCAGGAGGAACACCGGUGGCGAAGGCGGAUCUCUGGGCCGAUACUGACGCUGAGGAGCGAAAGCGUGGGGAGCGAACAGGAUUAGAUACCCUGGUAGUCCACGCCGUAAACGGUGGGAACUAGGUGUUGGCGACAUUCCACGUCGUCGGUGCCGCAGCUAACGCAUUAAGCUCCCCGCCUGGGGAGUACGG
rnacentral:rRNA from 1 species